UACGUAGGCAGCAAGCGUUGUUCGGAGUUACUGGGCGUAAAGGGUGUGUAGGCGGUCUUCUAAGUUUGGUGUGAAAUCUCCCGGCUCAACUGGGAGGGUGCGCCGAAUACUGAAAGACUAGAGUGCGGGAGAGGAUAGUGGAAUUCCUGGUGUAGCGGUGAAAUGCGUAGAUAUCAGGAGGAACACCGGUGGUGUAGACGGCUAUCUGGACCGUAACUGACGCUGAGACACGAAAGCGUGGGUAGCAAACAGG
rnacentral:rRNA from 1 species